GUGUCGUCAGCUCGUGUCGUGAGAUGUUGGGUUAAGUCCCGCAACGAGCGCAACCCUUGUCCUUAGUUGCCACCAUUCAGUUGGGCACUCUAAAGAGACUGCCGGUGUCAAACCGGAGGAAGGUGGGGAUGACGUCAAGUCCUCAUGGCCUUUAUGACCAGGGCUACACACGUACUACAAUGGCAGGUACAAAGGGCAGCCACUUAGCGAUAAGGCGCGAAUCCCAUAAAACCUGUCUCAGUCCGGAUUGGAGUCUGCAACUCGACUCCAUGAAGUUGGAAUCGCUAGUAAUCGCAGAUCAGCACGCUGCGGUGAAUACGUUCCCGGGCCUU
rnacentral:rRNA from 1 species